rnacentral:rRNA from 1 species
UACGUAGGGCGCAAGCGUUAUCCGGAAUUAUUGGGCGUAAAGAGCUCGUAGGCGGUUCGGCAAGUCGGGUGUGAAAUUUCGAGGCUCAACCUCGAAACGCCACUCGGUACUGCUGUGACUGGAGUCCGGUAGAGGAGUGCGGAAUUCCUGGUGUAGCGGUGAAAUGCGCAGAUAUCAGGAGGAACACCAACGGCGAAGGCAGCACUCUGGGCCGGUACUGACGCUGAGGAGCGAAAGCGUGGGGAGCAAACAGG